ensembl:lncRNA
CCCGUCCGCCGCCGCCGCUUCGCCCGGGCUCCGCAGCUCCGCCGCCCGCGGGGACGCCAUGGAGCCGCCGCCCUGCGAGCAGAGAGUGCCUGGAGACGGUGGUGCGGAUUUAAAUCCUGAGUGAUAGAGGGUGGGCUGCUGAAAGCUGCCGGGAAGAUCUGUCCAUCACAUUGCCGUUCCCUUCAGCACAUUCGCAUGCCUCGAGCACCAUCACAAGCUCACGUAUGACAGCGUGAGAUGAUGCUCAGAUGCUGCUGCCAGCACCAGCACUGGGGCAACGUCCUUCACAGUGACAUCCAACAGCAGCUUUCUGCCACCGUGACAUCAACAGGGACCUCCUGUGGAGUCUCUGUGAAGCUGAGUCAAAACCAGAAAGGCUCUAAGAGGGCGCAAGGGGGUGCAGAGAUAAAGGGGUGCAUGUGGACUUCCGUGCAGCUGAAGGCUGUGCACACCCAGGUGCUGGUGAGGGCUGCUUGGCUCUGGCCCUGCUGCUCAGCGGGGCAUUGACAGGUGACAGCUUCAUCCUUCCCUCAGCACCUUCUGCAUUAAACAAAAGGCGAUGUUAAAAUUGACCUCUGGAUCAUUUUGUAGCCGUUUCCUUCCAUUUUUAUUUCUAUUUCUAAUUUUCUUCCACGUGUCCAG